ACUGGGAAAUGAUGAUAAAGAUAUCGAUAUGUCAUAGGCACAUGCAAUGCUGAACCAAACAUAUUUGCACGUCAGUCUGAUCCCAUU
rfam:Brassica oleracea var. oleracea cultivar TO1000 chromosome C4, whole genome shotgun sequence